rnacentral:rRNA from 1 species
UACAGAGGGGGCAAGCGUUGUUCGGAAUUACUGGGCGUAAAGGGCGCGUAGGUGGCCGCCUAAGUCAGACGUGAAAUCCCUCGGCUCAACCGGGGAACUGCGUCUGAUACUGGGUGGCUUGAAUCCGGGAGAGGGAUGCGGAAUUCCGAGGUGUAGCGGUGAAAUGCGUAGAUAUCUGGAGGAACACCGGUGGCGAAGGCGGCAUCCUGGACCGGCAUUGACGCUGAGGCGCGAAAGCCAGGGGAGCAAAGCGGG